rnacentral:rRNA from 1 species
UACGUAGGUGGCAAGCGUUGUCCGGAAUUAUUGGGCGUAAAGCGCGCGCAGGCGGCCUUUUAAGUCUGAUGUGAAAGCCCACGGCUCAACCGUGGAAGGUCAUUGGAAACUGAAAGGCUUGAGUACAGAAGAGGAAAGCGGAAUUCCACGUGUAGCGGUGAAAUGCGUAGAGAUGUGGAGGAACACCAGUGGCGAAGGCGGCUUCUGGUCUGUAACUGACGCUGAGGCGCGAAAGCGUGGGAGCAAACAGG